AACAUGGUUAUUUUAAAGCUCUAUGGUUUUUGAGAAACAGGUACCAUUUUGAAAUAAAAUAUUAUAGAAGCCAAAGGAAGCAAGAUGGGACAGUGGAAAGAGGGCUGGCUCAGGAGUGAGGAGAACAUGCUUGUGGCCGGGGCCCUGGUACUAAUCCAUCACUGUAUUCCUGUUUCCUCGAAAUAGAGAACUGUGUUUCCUUAGUUCCCGCAUUUCCAAGUCUUCAAGAUCAUGAGAGCUGUACCUUUGAGACACCCAAGCACGCUGUCCAGUUGCUGACUCAACUCAGAAGGUCAGGACCACAGAGACAAGCAGACAGGUGAACUGGAGGUUACCACCGAAAGAACUGAAUGCCUGAUACAUAAUAACGUAAGAUAUCACACAUAAUAUGUACUACAUGACAUUAAUGUAA
rnacentral:lncRNA from 1 species